rnacentral:rRNA from 1 species
AUUGAACGCUGGCGGCAGGCCUAACACAUGCAAGUCGAACGAGUGGCGGACGGGGGAGUAAUGCCUGGGACACUGCCCGAUGGAGGGGGAUAAUAACUGGAAACGGUAGUUAAUACUGCAUCCCAUCGGUCGUGCCCAGAUGGGAGUAGCUUGUAGGUGGGGUAACGGCUGACCUAGGCGACGAUCCCUAGCUGGUCUGAGAGGAUGACCAGCCACACUGGAACUGAGACACGGUCCAGACUCCUACGGGAGGCAGCAGUGGGGAAUAUUGGACAAUGGGCGCAAGCCUGAUGCAGCCAUGCCGCGUGUAUGAAGAAGGCCUUCGGGUUGUAAAGUACUUUCAGCGGGGAGGCGUUACCCACAGAAGAAGCACCGGCUAACUCCGUGCCAGCAGCCGCGGUAAUUC